rnacentral:rRNA from 1 species
GGGCCCGCACAAGCGGAGGAGCAUGUGGUUUAAUUCGAUGAUACGCGAGGAACCUUACCUAGACUUGAACGUAUAAGUGAUUAUUUAGAAAUAGAUAAGCUAGCAAUAGACUUUUACGAGGUGCUGCAUGGUUGUCGUCAGCUCGUGCCGUGAGGUGUCAGGUUAAGUCCUAUAACGAGCGCAACCCUUACUCUUAGUUGCCAGCAUGUCAUGAUGGGGACUCUAAGAGGACUGCCAGCGCAAGCUGCGAGGAAGGUGGGGAUGACGUCAAAUCAGCACGGCCCUUACGUCUAGGGCGACACACGUGCUACAAUGGCCGAUACAGAGGGCAGCUACAUAGCGAUAUGAUGCGAAUCUCGAAAGUCGGUCUCAGUUCGGAUCGGAGUCUGCAACCCGACUCCGUGAAGUUGGAUUCGCUAGUAAUCGCAGAUCAGCCAUGCUGCGGUGAAUACGUUCCCGGGCCUU